ACUCAAAUGAAUUGACGGGGGCCCGCACAAGCAGUGGAGCAUGUGGUUUAAUUCGAUGCAACGCGAAGAACCUUACCCGGGCUCGAAAUGUAGAGAACGCUAACAGAAAUGUUAGUUCCCGAAAGGGGCUCUAUAUAGGUGCUGCAUGGCUGUCGUCAGCUCGUGCCGUGAGGUGUUUGGUUAAGUCCAGCAACGAGCGCAACCCUUAUUGUCAGUUGCCAACGCGUAAUGGCGGGGACUCUGGCAAGACUGCCUAGGUUAACUAGGAGGAAGGUGAGGAUGACGUCAAGUCCGCAUGGCCUUUAUGUCCGGGGCUACACACGUGCUACAAUGGUCGGUACAGAAGGCAGCGAAACCGUGAGGUGGAGCUAAUCCGUAAAGCCGAUCUCAGUUCAGAUUGCAGACUGCAACUCGUCUGCAUGAAGUUGGAAUUGCUAGUAAUGACGUGUCAGCAACAGCGUCGUGAAUACGUUCCCGGGCCUUGCACACACCGCCCGU
rnacentral:rRNA from 1 species